GGGAAGGUGGCUCAGUGGUAGAGUGCUUGCCUUGCAUGCAUGAGGCCCUGGCAUGCAUGAGGCCCUGGGUUCAAUUUCUCAGCACCCCA
rnacentral:tRNA from 1 species